UACGUAGGGUGCGAGCGUUAAUCGGAAUUACUGGGCGUAAAGCGUGCGCAGGCGGCUUUGCAAGACAGAUGUGAAAUCCCCGGGCUCAACCUGGGAACUGCAUUUGUGACUGCAAGGCUAGAGUACGGCAGAGGGGGAUGGAAUUCCGCGUGUAGCAGUGAAAUGCGUAGAUAUGCGGAGGAACACCAAUGGCGAAGGCAAUCCCCUGGGCCUGUACUGACGCUCAUGCACGAAAGCGUGGGGAGCAAACGGG
rnacentral:rRNA from 1 species